CCACCCGCUACUUGCAGUCUCCAAGAACCAGUGAGAAGUUGUGAAGGUCCAGCCGUGCGCUCGUGGCACACGAUUGGUGCUCCUCUCCUGCGCUGCUUGUUUUCAAUUGGUUCUUUUCUUUUUGUUGCCCGAUUGGAAUCCAACUCCUUCACCCCUAUUUCUUUUUAGUUUGUUUUGUUCUUGCAGGCGGCGGCUAUUCUGGAUUCAUGCCGAGACGGAUUUGUUGUUCUUAACCAUCCCCGCGCCCCCGUCGUGGCUCGCCAACGUUCCGCCGGCGCCGGACACGACUGUGAGGACACAAGGAGCUGUUGCCUCAAGUUCAUGUCAGCUUCCAGCAGCCGGCGUGAGCUCUCAUGAUGUCAGUGUGACGCUCAUGUCAGCUUCCAUUCAUGUGUUGAUUUAUUUUGAUUGAGAUUACAGCAGCAAGAAGCAUUGAAGCAAGAGUUAUGGGAAUUGGGGUGCCAGAACUGCCUAGCAAAUUCUGUGUUACCUGCUAUGCUGCAAGACUCCAUCAGUGGUACAUGAGCCUUCUUUGUGCUCCCUAGUUCCAAUAGUCUGCAGUCUAGCUCUGCCAUUCUGCAACUUAAGAAGGUACUAAUUUCUGAUCCAAUCAGUUAAGAAGCCUGAUAAACUGAUGAAGGCUUAUUAGAUUUUGCAUCCACAGGAUUGAGCCUCCUGUAGUAUGCAGUGCGUGACCAUUCUGGUGAAUCAUUAGCUAUAAAAUAAAUAUGGACUGUUCUGAACUAUUUCCAUCUUCCUGCAGCUCCAUGAUCACACUAGAGCAGACUGGUCAGAACAAACUAGCUUCAGUUUUGUUUGCCUUGUGGUAGACAUCCCAACAGAUGUCAGAUGAUGGUGAUUGAUAGGCAUGAAAUGUGUACCUUUCUGCAUGAGUAUAAUUUUUUACCAUGUACUGUGUUGAUUAAAUGUUUUUACAUUUUUGGGUAAACCUUUGACAGUUUCUGAAUUUGCUUUAUUUGGCAGAAUAGCUCAUUGUCAGAAAUUUUUGCUACACCAUUUUUUAAACCAAUAUAAUGGAAGUUGUUAUCUAGAAUUUAUAACAAAAGAGAUAUGUUCUUGGUAGUUUGUGAUUAAAUUUACUCCAAAUAGAAGCAUUUCACUGUUCUCAUUAUAUGAUAUCACCAUGUAUAACUAUUUGUUAGUGACUAUAGUUGUUUUCAUUAGAUAUGCAUGCCUGAAGGUGGGAAGAAUAUUUGAUUCAUAAUUCUUUUGUUGGCAUGCCCCAUUUUACUAUGGUUGUUCUCAACUAAUCAACUAGUACUAAUAAUAGCUAUGUUGUUGCAUAAAAAUGUGGAUGCUUGAACCUGUAAUGUCUUCAGAUUGUGAGAUGUUGUCUCUGCAGGGAUGAUAGGAUCGAUCCUGCCUCUGAUGCUUGAUAACCUGGAGGCUACGCAGAUGGCAAACAAUGAGUUGUCUCUGCAGGCUCUGAGAUGAAUUGGUAGCUAGCAAUUAUGUGUUGUCAUGAACUAUUGACAUCUGCCUGCAGCUCCAAGCCUCCAAGAUCGCAUUACAGCAGAUUGGUCAGAACCAAAAAGCUUGACUUUUUUUUUUUUGCAUUAUGGAUGACUUCCAAACAAGCUAUCAGAUGAUGUUGAAGGCUGAAAGAUCUCGACAGAAGUGUGGUAGACAUCCAUUUGCAUGCCUGUGAUGUAAUCCUUUCUAAGCCUUCUAGCAUCAUAUGCUUGUGCCUGAUGCAGGUGAAGGCUGGUGAACACAUGCUAUUCCGUUCCUUCAUUUGUAUGGCAAUCAUUGGCUUGAUUCUAGAUUUAAGAUAUGUAUCUACAAUGAGAUAACGACAUUUGCAAAUAAAAGUCUCUAAUGCUGAGAAUUUUACUCAAGUUGCAAAA